UACGAAGGGGCUAGCGUUGCUCGGAAUCACUGGGCGUAAAGGGUGCGUAGGCGGGUCUUUAAGUCAGGGGUGAAAUCCGUGGAGCCUCAACUCCAGAACUGCCUUUGAUACUGAAGAUCUUGAGUUCGGGAGAGGUGAGUGGAACUGCGAGUGUAGAGGUGAAAUUCGUAGAUAUUCGCAAGAACACCAGUGGCGAAGGCGGCUCACUGGCCCGAUACUGACGCUGAGGCACGAAAGCGUGGGGAGCAAACAGG
rnacentral:rRNA from 1 species